rnacentral:rRNA from 1 species
AUUGAACGCUAGCGGGAUGCCUUACACAUGCAAGUCGAACGGCAGCAUAAGAGAGCUUGCUCUCUUGAUGGCGAGUGGCGAACGGGUGAGUAAUGUAUCGGAACGUGCCCAGUAGCGGGGGAUAACUACGCGAAAGCGUAGCUAAUACCGCAUACGCCCUACGGGGGAAAGGAGGGGAUCCGCAAGGACCUUUCACUAUUGGAGCGGCCGAUAUCGGAUUAGCUAGUUGGUGAGGUAACGGCUCACCAAGGCGACGAUCCGUAGCUGGUUUGAGGAGGACGACCAGCCACACGUGGGACUGAGACACGGCCAGACCUCCGUACGGGAGGCAGCAGUGGUAGAGUAUGCUGGAGCGGGCGUGGCAAGGCGACAUAG